UACGGAGGGUGCAAGCGUUAAUCGGAAUUACUGGGCGUAAAGCGCACGCAGGUGGCUGAGCGAGUCGAUUGUGAAAGCCCUGGGCUUAACCUGGGAAUUGCAGUCGAUACUACUCAGCUAGAGUCCGGAAGAGGAGAGUGGAAUUCCUGGUGUAGCGGUGAAAUGCGCAGAUAUCAGGAAGAACACCUAUGGCGAAGGCAGCUCUCUGGGACGGUACUGACGCUGAGACGCGAAAGCGUGGGGAGCGAACAGG
rnacentral:rRNA from 1 species